rnacentral:rRNA from 1 species
UACGUAGGGUGCAAGCGUUGUCCGGAAUUAUUGGGCGUAAAGAGCUCGUAGGCGGUCUGUUGCGUCCGCUGUGAAAACCCGAGGCUCAACCUCGGGCCUGCAGUGGGUACGGGCAGACUAGAGUGCGGUAGGGGAGAUUGGAAUUCCUGGUGUAGCGGUGGAAUGCGCAGAUAUCAGGAGGAACACCAAUGGCGAAGGCAGAUCUCUGGGCCGUAAACUGACGCUGAGGAGCGAAAGCAUGGGGAGCGAACAGG